rnacentral:misc_RNA from 1 species
GAUGAAGAACGUAGCGAAAUGCGAUAAGUAAUGUGAAUUGCAGAAUUCAGUGAAUCAUCGAAUCUUUGAACGCACAUUGCGCCCGCCAGUAUUCUGGCGGGCAUGCCUGUUCGAGCGUCAUUUCAACCAUCAAGCCCCAGGCUUGUGUUGGGGACCUGCGGCUGCCGCAGGCCCUGAAAACCAGUGGCGGGCUCGCUGUCACACCGGGCGUAGUAGAUUUUAUCUCGCUCAGGGCGUGCUGUGGGUCCCGGCCGUUAAAAGCCUUUUUUUACCCAAGGUUGACCUCGGAUCAGGUAGGAAGACCCGCUGAACUUAAGCAUAUCAAUAAGCGGAGGA